ensembl:lncRNA
AACACCUGUAGCGUCUCUUCUGCCUUGUGCCCUUUUCUCUAAUUCGCCUGGCUGGAGCCUCAUGGGAUGGAUGGCAGGCGCCACAGUCCUCUCAGAGUAAAACUACAGCUUUAAAUCACCAAAUGGGCUCCACCUUGUCUUAAAGGAACCAGUGAAUGCUGAUACAUCACUUGCAAAAUGAGUUGCGAAAUCCAGUCACUUGAAAUGCAUGAAACUUGGACACAUUGACACCAAAAGAAAAAAUAACAAGAAGGAAUGUGCAAAGAGAACCAAGUUAAAUUCAAGAACUCUGGCCCAGCAUAAAAGUGCACAGGUAACACUUGUGAUUUGACAGACUUAUGAUUAUGAUCAUGUUUUGAUAUUUUUCCACAAAAUUCACUUUCUA